ensembl:lincRNA
AUGUUAGAAAGGUAAGAAUUUUGGUCUUCAUGAUAACAUACUGUAAGUACAGGAUAUCACUCGUACACUAAAAGAAAGCUUAGCCUUGCGAUGGCUCAAAGUAGACAUUUUAUCAAACUUGUAUUGCAUGUAUUUGAACCCAUUUGUCAAGGUUUUACUUCAAUUUGUCACAAUGUCAUUCCUGUUAAAACCAUGUUUUGAGUAGUAUAUGGGCUGAAAGGAUGGCGUAAAGGUACGCACACUCACCUCUAAGCUGUCUAGCCUAAAUUUGAAUCCCGACCCAGGUAUAAACUGUCAACCUGGUGUUCACGGGCAGAGUGAUUCAACAAUGCGUGUGCUGUCCCUCAGAUAGAUGUUAAACCAGGUAUCCCAUCUGCCAGCAUUAGUUGGUGGACGUCAAAGAUCCCACGGUGUCUUUCGUGAAGAGUAGGCGAGCUACUGCCGGCACCAUGAACAAAUUCCUGCCCGAACCAGCAGAGUGCAUUGAUUGCAUCAGCAGCACAGCCACACCCUCAGCCAAUAAUGCUACCCCGCAGCUUUGUGCUGCAUACAAAUGAAGAAGAGAUAGUAUACAUGUGCUUGUCAUGUAUGACAUACCUGAAACACCAUUGAAGCAUUUUUAUGACCACUCAUGGAACUCAGGUUUGUCUUAACAGAUCGACUGAUGCACAUUUUCCGAAGUGUUAUAAAUGACGGUGUACACACUACCCAUGUGACCCAUUCUAUGUAACAGCGUUCAGACAGUUUUGGAGGACAUGCAAGAGCCCAAUCAGAUGGUGAGUCCCAUGAACAGGACUUUGACGAGGACCGUGGGCUCGGCGUCAGCAGCAGUGACCUCUCCACGAAUCCCACUGAUGUGGAGCAUACAGAAUCUCUAAAGAAUCUUCAGUACAUUACAGAGGCGCACGAUGAAGAGGGAGACUUUGAUGAAGUUGGAAACGUAGAAUCUGAGGGUGCAGAUAAAAGUUUAAAUGAGCCACAGAGUUCAGAAAGGAUGGACGAUGCAUUAAACCCCCUUUUCCAAAAGAGCAUUCUUGAACUUCUUGCUGAUGACCUCAAGUAUGAAUGGCUAAGCGCUCUAACCAGCAGCAGCCAGCCGAAUGAAGUUUCACUGGAACCCAACGACACAAAGGGAACCUUGCCGGAGAAUACUGUUGAAGAGCCUGAUAUCAUAGAGCCAGAAACCUUUACAACUAUUGUUGAAGAGUCAAGCUCCGAAGAACCGGCUAAUAAAUCAACAAAACCUUAUCAUUCUAAAGAGAAAUGUGAAAGUAAGAAUAAAGAGUGCAAUUUUGAUUCCAGACAUGACAGUUUGCAGAGUGAAUACUCCUUGGAUAAAAACAUAAAGGUGAUAGAAAGUUUGCCUGCUGUCGAGAACACUGUGGAAGCUGAAGCUUUAUCCAGUGCCAAUGAUGUGGAGCCUUUUUCAAGAACCGAUCCGAAAGAUGGAAAGUUGUCCGACAGCAGUGACAUUGGAAUUGCAGAUGAAAAGGCCACAAUUGGUGACAAUAUACAGCAAGUCGAUGAAGAACAAAAUACACCAAAACAAUGGACGGCCCAAUUAUGUUCUCCAUCAGUUUCACAAAAAAUAAGAAAUUCAAACCACAAUGUAGGUUCCCCACACAAGCAAACACACAGGGUGUCAGUGUUGGAAGAAAUUAUCGAAGAGUCCUCGUCUUCAGAAACUUUACUUCAUCAGAUCCGAGGGCAAAGCACUAAUUCUCAAAGUCAUGCAUUUGAAGAAAGAAUCCAAACGUAUUUUACUGGCAGCACCUCGGGAGAUACGCACGACUCCAAAAAGUCUGAACAUCCAAUACAGGCUCUCAAGACUCUAUAUGAGGAGUUCAUUCAAAAGGAAGCUUCGAGAAUUGUUUUGGGAAGGAAGCGAGACAGUUUGGCACUUAUACCAGAAGGUGUUGUACAGCAAAAUAUUGGCAAGCUUUACACACAAGCGGAAUCCAAGAACAAGAAGGAUGCCGCAAGGGAGGUGGUUCAUUGUGUAAACGAAGAACAAGCAGUUGGAAUAUCUUCAAAAUCCAUGUUGGCAAUCCUUUCGAGAGAGCAACAACCUCCAAUGCAAAUGAUUACAUCACAGCCCAUUCACAUAUUGCUACCGCAAACCCCAACAAUUUUGUACAGCAGUUGGUACAACCGUUUGGCAACAUUACAGGACAUCUUUCAACUUCCGGUAAAGGAGCGUGUUUGGAAAGACACGCACAAGACAAUAUCAUUUGAUGACUCUCAACCUCCCCCCCCCCCCCCCCCCCCCCCCCCCCCCCCCCCCCCCCCCCCCCCCCCCCCCCCCCCCCCCCCCCCCCCCCCCCCCCCCCCCCCCCCGGACAUUUUAAAUAGUGAGGAAAGAUCGCAUUAUCAGAAAUAUUCUGUCGAUAGUUCUGAUCAAUCAAACUUUUCGAACGUUUCUCUGGAAUCCACUGCAAAGCAAAAAUAUCUCCUGAAACUCGCUGAUUUAAAUGAAGACGCAGAAACAGGUGUGGACCAUAUUUUGUGGAACUCUUCCAUGAGUGCCAUUGAGGAGUUGGAAACACUUUGGAAAGAGCUUGAAAGCAGCAUUGAUGAGCAGAAAGGCAAGGGGAUCGAUCAUUUUGAUGAGAUGACCCAAGAUAUGUGUGAAUACUCGCGAUCAGUAGUAAAUUUCAAUGGUGAAGAUGGUGUUGACAAAUGCACAGAUAUUUCACAUGCAAACCAAACUCAAACAAAAGCAAGCAUUUCAGGACGGGAUGGCCAGGAAGAAAUUUGGUUCCACCAUAAUGAGCCUUACUUCCAAGUCGAUCCAACUCCUGAAGACCUCUCAACAUCCACUACAUCUCUACCCUUGACAAGCUGCAACAACAAAGCAGCUGCAUGUUCCCAGUCCAGUGUAGACUCAAAAAGGCAAUGUGUCAUCGAGCGACAUGACCCAGCAUACCAAAGAUGGCAUGAAGUGGAGGAAAAUGUCACCGUAAACACACAAAAUGACAACAGUGUUUCCCUUCACAAUGGUUCGUGCUGGUCAAGUGAACAUGAAGUGCAAAAUGAACCUCACAACUUGAGCACAUCCCCACCCUCAACCUGUUUGUACAAUGCCUGGAGGAGUUCGGGACCUCAUUGUAUUUCACGACCAAUCCCGGGUCCAUCCCGAAUGCCUGCUCCAAUGUGGCCUUUCCAUUCUGGAGUUCCCUGUUUUCCUCCUCCAGUGGCUUUUAUUCCAGUUGGUCACCAAAGUCCUGCUUAUCUCAUACCCCAUCCAUUACCCCAGCAUUUUGCUACGGUUGCCUGGACGGACCGUCAUCAAGCACCACAACCAACACCAUCAGUAGUCUCGAAGUCCAUCAUAAAUAAUGAGAGAAACUCAUCAUUGUCACAAACUCACAACAUGUUUGCUAACUACUGGCAUAAUGAGCAGCCAAGUGGUUGUUCAAACUUGUCCCACUUGAUAAAACCAUCAUCUCAUUUUCAUCAAACCAUGAACUGGUUACGUGCAUUUCAGUCUCCCUCAUUAUCACAACCUGUACUCGCACCUGCUGUUAGGCCUCCUGGUCUUGUCUUUUUGCCAACAUUUUUUAUUCCUUCUUCCCCCGGUUUUUCGAACGCACCACAUGAAUAAUCCCAUGGACAGGCUGUGCACUCCCCAUUGAUGGAACAAAUAUUAAACUGCAUCAGAGUGGUGACCUGGCCAGGAUUGCAGUCCAUGCCAAGAAACUGCUUCAGCAGAACCGAUGCUCUGUAUAAAGAAUGGUGCACAAGCAUUGGAUUGAGUACAAAAUACACUUUCCACCUGAUUUUCGCCAUCGCAGUUUCUCAAUCGUUGAAGUAACAUCAGUGAUGAAGAUCAUUUGUGCUUAUGUCAUGAGUGAAUGCAAAUUUAUAGUCGUUAUUAUUUUACUUAUAUAAAGUAUUUAUGCAUUAUAUAAUAGAUGGAGACCCAUAUACUCUUGACACAACUUCAGGGCAUUCAUGAUGAGUCGACAAAAGUUUCAAGGUGAGAACCGAUCCUGGACAGUUCGCCACUCUGUGGCAGGAUACUCGAUGGAAAGUUGGGGGGAUUUGUAAUUUGUUCAGAGUAACUUGCCUCGUCUUCACAAAAAGGCAGUGGGAUCUUUAUCGUCCAUCAACGACUAGCCCUGGCAGACGAGAUGCCCAGUUAUGUCCUUUGGUUGGUGGCCCACACACAUUGAUGCCUCACCUUGAUGAUGAAGUCCCGAGAUAACGGUUCAUAUCUGCAUCGAGAUUCAAACCCACCGGGCUCGCAGGCAUUCCUUUCCUAUAGUAAUUCUCUGCAGACUAUUGUAGUAGGACCUGUUACCAACUAUAGUAUAUGAGAGUACAACUUUCAUUUGCUGUAAUUCUAACCGUAUAAUUUUUGCCCGGGGAGAGCCUAAAAGCAAGUGUGCAUACCUCCGAGCUAUCCAUCAAGCCAAAUUAUAUAUAAUACUGCACUUCAAAAAAGAAUGCUUUUGGGUUUGGGAAUGUGUACUCAAGCUUAAGAUAUGAUCGACAGCGAUGUUGACUAAUGGUGCACUUGUAUUGGACUGCAGAAAACUCCAGUGCUGCACUAAUACGUGUCGUAAAGAAAAAUGAAAAGGUAAUACAUCCUCAAGGCAAUUUUUUAAGGCAAGUGAACGUUUAGAUAUGUAAAUGAAUCAUCAUCCAUAUUUUAAAACUGUUCCAGCCUGAGGAAUGACUGCAAUGCAUCUUCUUAUGUCCUCAAUGUGACAUCACAAUCACAAUUUUAGUUAGUUACGCAGUCUAAUAUGGAAUCCUGGUGUUGGCUUAAUGGUUCAGGUGGCUGUCACAAGAUCUUAUAGGGUCCUGAGUUUGAGCGUUUGUCAUCCGUUGAAUAACACCAUGUGGGUUGACUCAGCCUGUCAUCUUUCUGAGGUUGGCAAAACGAGUACCAGAUUACUGGAAACGGGAGCACCGCAUCAGCGGCACAGCCACACACCCAUCAAUGAUGCAACCAGCAGCCACAGGCUGCAUACAAAACAAUAAAAAGUGUAAUAUGUAAACUACAGUAUUAUUCUUCUGAUGGUAUAUCACAUGGACACCAAACUUGUAAAGACUUUUAUUAAAUGAUGAGCAUCGUGAACUGUUACUCAUAUUGAGGUUGUUUUUUCUUGUACAAAAGUGAUAAUGGUACUGUGCAUUAUGUCAAAGUCCUCCCACACUCCCCUGAUCCAAUUUUCUUAAAAAUAUUUUUAGGUCAAAGGAAAAUUGUUGUUGGUAUAAAGCAGUUUUAAUUAGAUAUGGACAGGCAUCGACAUUUACAGAACUGAUUCCGAUUUACAGAGAUUUUAGAAUUGCAUAUUUACCUUGUCUGUUACCUUACUAGUUCUGGUGUCGAGCUGAGAUUAUACAUACUUAUAAAUGUCAGUGUGUGUGUGUGUGUGUGUGUGUGUCCCCCCCCCCCCCCCCCCCCCCCCUGUGUGUGUGUGUGUGUGUGUGUGUGUGUGUGUGUGUUUCCUCCAUAAUUCAAAAACCAUGAAACCGAGCAGCCUGAAACUUUGCAUGCAUACUAAGAGAACUCCAAGGAAGUGCAAGAGUGAAAAUUUGGUGUUUGGGUUCAUUAAAACACUCCUUUUGAAGAUAAUUAACGGUCUUGUUUAAUUAUCCUUUAUCAAGGCGUUUUCCUUGGUCACCUCACUCUCCCUCGCUGGGGUCUUACUUCACCAUUUUUUUUGGCCUGCUCAACAAUGCCUUGACUUGGAAAAGGCAGCAACGAUAUCUUCACGAUAAAGCGCUCAUAUGUCCCCCCCCCUUUCCUCACUCAUAUCACCGAAUGGCUAAUCUUCAUACCUUUCAAAUCGCUCUCUAUAUAUCACUUUUGUAAGUGCUAUAGUUUUCAUAUAAUGACCUUGAAGCGAUUUCAUGCAUUAUAUUAUGGGAUUUUCCACGAUCUACUCUCACGAA